rnacentral:rRNA from 1 species
GGCCCCUCGAAAAAUAAAGUUAUGGGGGGUCUGACCUGCCCGGUGACUAUAGGUUAAACGGCCGCGGUACCCUGACCGUGCAAAGGUAGCAUAAUCAUUUGCCUUUUAAUUGAGGGCUAGUAUGAAAGGUUUGACGAGAACUGAGCUGUCUCUUUAGAUAAUAUUAAAAAAUUAACAUUUAGGUGAAGAGGCCUAAAUUUGACUAAGGGACAAGAAGACCCUAUUGAGCUUUAGUUGUCUUUUAGGUGAAAAAAUAGUAAUUUAAAUGUUUUACCUAAAGAAAAUCUUUAAUUGGGGCGAUUUAGGAAUCUAAGAAACUUCCUAUUAUUUGUUAAUGCUAACAUGUGUAGAUCCAGUAUUACUGACUAGGGGAAUAAGUUACCAUAGGGAUAACAGCGUAAUCUUCUUGGAGAGCUCUAAUCGAAAAGUGGGUUUGCGACCUCGAUGUUGGACUAAGGUGUCCUAAGGGUGUAGAAAUUCUUGAGGGUUAGUC